CUAACGAGCCUCCCCUGCCAUAGCACAACAUGACCGUCUCCCUCCUCCCACUUGAGCUCCGGUCUGAUUCUAUCAUCUUGAUUGAUUUCUAUUUUCCAGCUAGGGUUUGGGUAUACACAAGAGUCGUACAAAUGGCGGUAACAGGCAGCAUUUGUGUUCAUAUUGUCCACAGUUGGUGCAAAUAGAUAAACAUUGUCGUGCAGUAUCAAGCCUUCCUCUUUUAGUAGAGCUACCAUGAAAUAAUUAUGAGUUUGCAGCUAUCGUUCAUGGUAGUGUAAGCAUUGUAGGAAUGGAGUAGUACAUACAAUGGAGAUAGCUUUCAAACAUAUGUUGUAUAAAAAUUCUGAAAUAUUACCUCGUGACCUUAUAUUUGCAUGUCAUCUUGCCAAUCCAUGUAGAAAAAUAUUUAUAUGUUGUUAGGGCAGGAAUGAAAGUCCUUUCUCUGGGCUCUUUGGGAAACAUAUAUAUGAAAAAUGAAAGUUAUAGUU